rnacentral:lncRNA from 1 species
GCUGAUUCUUAUGAUACAGCUGAAUGAGCUCCUUUGGUGCUCAAGAAGGCGGGUAAUCUCAUCAGGAAUCCCCUUCAACAUCAUCUUCCUCGGCUUAAAUACAAGGAAUUCAAGAUUGGGAGAUGGCGUUGGAUCAUUAUGUUCAAUGGGUUUAGAAAUCCCUGCAUAAUGAUUUUGGUUAAUGAAAAACUUUAGCAUUUAAACAAACAAACCAUUAUGCAGAUGAAAAAGAUUGCUUUUAUUCUUGUUUUUAUGGGUUUUUUGUGAUCACUGAUUUCAUGCAAAAAAGCAAA